AAAAAGACACUGUGUUCGGGGAUCAUUUCUACAGUUUGUUGCUAGAGAAGUUUUUCUGAACAUGUAGAGUACCUCAAACCAUGUGGAGGAAGAGGAGUGCUCUCUUGUGAGCCUGAAGCUGGAUUUAGGUGUUCUUUCCAAACAGCCAAUUAUGGGUGCCUGGGUUGCUCAGUUUGUUAAACAACUGCCUUUGGCUCAGGUCAUGAUACUGGAGUCCUGAGAUCAAGUCCCACAUCAGAGU
rfam:Mustela putorius furo breed Sable contig109460, whole genome shotgun sequence.